GCCAGCGCUAGUCUCCCGCAAAUCCAGGGGCUGUCAAAACGCUCCGUGUGUAAUUCUGUUUGAGAUAAGCAGUGUGUACAUUGCUGCGAUGAUAUCAGAAGUCCUCGGGGCAAGUCAUGCCAUCUGGGAAGGGCAAUCUCGGCAAUGAUUCCAACCCACAACGAAAGGUGCAAACCUUUGCUUUGCUGUGGUGAAACUGGCUGCUUUCAUUUGGACAGCGUCCAACGUGUCCAGAACGGAUCCGAGUGAAUCUGACGGGGUGUGACACACGUUGUUUUCCCUGGUGGAAGCGAGCCAAGCAGAGAGGCAUUCGCAGACAGAGCCUGUGGGUACCUUCAACCCUCGAGGAGUCUGGCAAUCCCAAGAGCCUGGGCACGUCUCUUCUUGGAAAGACGGGGGAAAGAGAAGUAGAUGAUACGAGAUGAUAACUUCAUGCAAUGAUUGCUGGUUGUCCGUGGAGAAGCAUAAACGUGACCCAGGGUCUGGAGUAAAGCCAAGAAAACUGCUGAGAAGACAGAUC